AGUGACGAUAGCCUAGGAGAUACACCUGUACCCAUGCCGAACACAGCAGUUAAGCCCUAGAACGCUGAUGUAGUUGGGGGUUUGCCCCCUGUGGAUAAGGUAGUCGCUUAGC
rnacentral:rRNA from 1 species